rnacentral:tRNA from 1 species
ACUUUUAAAGGAUAGAAGUCAUCCAAUGGC